rnacentral:lncRNA from 1 species
GCGCCAAGAAAUUAACUCCCAGUAGACAACGUUCAAGAAGAUAAGAAAACAAAGAGACAAAAAAAAAAAAAAUGAAAAUCAGAAGAAGAAUAAGAGAGCAAAAAGAAUGGCAUAAAAGACAGUUCCUAUAACAGAUAAAAAUGAUUGACUCUCUUUCAUCACCAACCCAUUCCAAGAACGCAAAGGGAAGGCUGUCUUUCCUCCAAGAUAUUCUCUUUCUCCAUCCACCACUGCCCAAG